rnacentral:rRNA from 1 species
AUUGAACGCUGGCGGCAGGCCUAACACAUGCAAGUCGAGCGGAUGAAGGGAGCUUGCUCCUGGAUUCAGCGGCGGACGGGUGAGUAAUGCCUAGGAAUCUGCCUGGUAUUGGGGGAUAACGUCCGGAAACGGGCGCUAAUACCGCAUACGUCCUUAGGGAGAAAGUGGGGGAUCUUCGGACCUCACGCUAUCAGAUGAGCCUAGGUCGGAUUAGCUAGUUGGUGGGGUAAAGGCCUACCAAGGCGACGAUCCGUAACUGGUCUGAGAGGAUGAUCAGUCACACUGGAACUGAGACACGGUCCAGACUCCUACGGGAGGCAGCAGUGGGGAAUAUUGGACAAAGGGCGAAAGCCUGAUCCAGCCAUGCCGCGUGUGUGAAGAAGGUCUUCGGAUUGUAAAGCACUUUAAGUUGGGAGGAAGGGCAGUAAGUUAAUACCUUGCUGUUUUGACGUUACCAACAGAAUAAGCACCGGCUAACUUCGUG